UUUUGGACAUACAGUUUAGCAAUUGUGGUGCAGUAAAUAAUGUGGCUACUGUACGGAAACAUGGCAGAGUUUAUGACAUGAUCACAAAGCUUGCAUUUGGGUAAAUCAAAAACUGGGUGUUUCACCUGGGACUUUCACAUCGAAACUGACCCUUCUCCAUGACCUUCAGCACAAAAAAAGAAAGGCUAUAGCUGUUACUCGUGCAGCAAAACAGUGACGCAUAAGACUUAAAACUCGAACGGCAUUCAAAGGACAGUGCAAGAAGUACGAGUGGGACCAACAUACAGUUCAAACAUAGAGGACCAAGACGUUGAAGUUACAACUAUACCCCCACCUAUACCCAAGCCUGGUCAAGCAGGGCUAGACACUACUGGGAAGGAAUUUGUUUUCUUUGAUUUGGAAACAAG